rnacentral:rRNA from 1 species
AGUCACUGACAUUAGAUACCCGCGUAGUCCAGGGUGUAAACGCUGCAGACUUGGUGUUGGAGGCCCUUUGGGGGCAUUCAGUGCCGGAGAGAAGUUGUUAAGUCUGCUACUUGGGGAGUACGUCCGCAAGGAUGAAACUUAAAGGAAUUGGCGGGGGAGCACCGCAACGGGAGGAGCGUGCGGUUUAAUUGGAUUCAACACCGUAAAACUCACCAGGGAAGACUGUUACAUGAAGGCCGAGAUGAAGACUCUGCUAGAUUUUC